rnacentral:tRNA from 1 species
GGGCGCAUAGCGCAGUGGUAGCGCGUCCGCUUUGCAAGCGGAAGGCCCCGGGUUCUAUCCCCGGUGUGUCCA